rnacentral:rRNA from 1 species
UAGUAAUCGUAGGUCAGCAUACUACGGUGAAUACGUUCCCGGGCCUUNUACACACCGCCCGUCAAACCAUGAGAGUUGGCAACACCCGAAGUCGGUAGUCUAACCGCAAGGAGGACGCCGCCGAAGGUGGGGUUGNNGNUUAGGGUUAAGUCGUAACAAGGUAUC